AACGAACACUGGCGGCGUGGUUUAGGCAUGCAAGUCGAACGUGAAAGUCCCUUCGGGGAUGAGUAAAGUGGCGAACGGGUGAGUAACGCGUGGGAAACCUUCCCUUCGAUGGGGGAUAACAGUUCUAACGAGCUGCUAAUACCGCAUACGACCCUUGGAUCGCAUGGUCCGGGGGUGAAAGGGGGCGAUCUCUUCGGAGAGCUCCCGUCGAUGGAUGGUCCCGCGUCCCAUUAGCUAGUUGGCGGGGUAAUGGCCCACCAAGGCGACGAUGGGUAGCCGGCCUGAGAGGGUGUCCGGCCACACUGGGACUGAGAUACGGCCCAGACUCCUACGGGAGGCAGCAGUCGAGAAGCUUCGGCAAUGGGCGAAAGCCUGACCGAGCGACGCCGCGUGAGCGAAGAAGGCCCUAUGGGUUGUAAAGCUCUGUCAGAUUGGGAAGAAAACCUCGCGGUUAAUACCCGCGAGGCCUGACGGUACCAUCAGAGGAAGCACCGGCUAACCCCGUGCCAGCAGCCGCGGU
rnacentral:rRNA from 1 species